rnacentral:misc_RNA from 1 species
AAAGUCGUAACAAGGUUUCCGUAGGUGAACCUGCGGAAGGAUCAUUAAAAAUAUAGCAAACCGAGCGUUAGCGAGGUUUUGCGAUCAAAAUUGUAUUUAAAACCCAACUCUUUGAAUCAAAUUUAUAAUGUAUUUUAAAAAUAAAUAAAAGAUCACUUUCAACAACGGAUCUCUUGGCUCUC